rnacentral:rRNA from 1 species
GAUGAACGCUGGCGGCGUGCCUAAUACAUGCAAGUCGAGCGAACAGAUGAGGAGCUUGCUCCUCUGACGUUAGCGGCGGACGGGUGAGUAACACGUGGAUAACCUACCUAUAAGACUGGGAUAACUUCGGGAAACCGGUGCUAAUACCGGAUAAUAUAUUGAACCGCAUGGUUCAAUAGUGAAAGACGGUUUUGCUGUCACUUAUAGAUGGAUCCGCGCCGCAUUAGCUAGUUGGUAAGGUAACGGCUUACCAAGGCAACGAUGCGUAGCCGACCUGAGAGGGUGAUCAGCCACACUGGAACUGAGACACGGUCCAGACUCCUACGGGAGGCAGCAGUAGGGAAUCUUGCACAAUGGGCGCAAGCCUGACGGAGCCACGCCGCGUGAGUGAUGAAGGCCUUCGGGUCGUAAAGCUCUGUUAUUAGGGAAGAAAAAAUGUGUAUGUAACUAUGCACGUCUUGACGGUACCUAAACAAAAAGCAACGGCUAACUUCGUG